rnacentral:tRNA from 1 species
GGCCCCGUCAUCUAGCUGGCCUAGGAUACCGGCCUUUCAAGCCGGCGGCGCGGGUUCGAAUCCCGUCGGGGCUACCA